AGAGUUUGAUUAUGGCUCAGAACGAACGCUGGCGGCGUGCUUAACACAUGCAAGUCGAACGGAGUUUUAAACGGAAGUUUUCGGAUGGAAGUUUAGAAACUUAGUGGCGGACGGGUGAGUAACGCGUGGGUAACCUGCCUCGAUACAGGGGGAUAACAGUUAGAAAUGACUGCUAACACCGCAUAAUAUAGCGAAACCGCAUGAUUUUGCUAUCAAAUAUUUAUAGGUAUGAGAUGGGCCCGCGUCUGAUUAGCUAGUUGGUGGGGUAAAAGCCUACCAAGGCGACGAUCAGUAGCCGGCUUGAGAGAGUGACCGGCCACAUUGGGACUGAGACACGGCCCAAACUCCUACGGGAGGCAGCAGUGGGGAAUAUUGGACAAUGGGGGAAACCCUGAUCCAGCCGACGCCGCGUGAGUGAAGAAGUAUUUCGGUAUGUAAAGCUCUAUCAGCAGGGAAGAUAAUGACAGUACCUGACUAAGAAGCCCCGGCUAACUACGUGCCAGCCGCGGC
rnacentral:rRNA from 1 species